AGUAUGACGGAAUCAUAAUUAAUUUUACCGCACUCAAAAUCCAAAAUCACUAGUGCAGAAUUUACAGGAGCAGUGAGCAAGCAAUUCAUCAAUGGCGCUUCAAUCAGCAUUCAAAGAAAGGCUUGGAGAUAUGGAGUCCACUCGUAAUCAAAGACUUUCUCUCCUCCAGGAUGAGAAAGACUUACAAAAGAGGAAAUCCCUAUUAUUAUCAGCUAAACACGCCAAAAUCAGAUUACUGGAACAAAGAUGUUUGAUCUUAGAUCAAAAAUUUGCAUCAGAUAACUUCAAAAUCUCGUCACUCAAAUCCGAAAUUGAGUUUUUGGAUCGUCAAUUUCUAUCCUGUGCUCAACAAUUGAGGGAUUUGAAGGUUGAGGUAGAGGGGCUUGAGCAAUUGGAGGAAGAGAGAGAUAAAUUUUACGCUCUCAAAUGUUCUGAAAUGAAUGAUUUUAAGAAGGAAAUUCAGAAGUAUGCUGAAGAAAUUGGUAGCAGAAUUAAAGAAUUGAAAUGUGGUAAUGAGAAGAUUUGUUUAUGGAAACAAGAAGUGUUGAGUAGUUGGGGGACACCGCGGUUGAUACUGACUGAAUAGGAAUCCUGAGCACCAAAGUUAGUGUGAGUUUUGAUUUUGUUCAAGUGGAGAAUAUUAACUCUGUGGCUUGCAUAAGGAAGUUCUUUAAUAAAGAAUAGCAACCGUGAGGCACAAACUCGUGACAUUCAAGCUGCUAAGGUGAGAAAGUCAGAACUUAUAGCUUUGAAGGAAAAAUUGACCAGUGACCUGGACUCUAAUAGACGUUUGAUAGCAACAUUGCAAGAGCAGCUUCAGAGUCUGUGGUGAUAUGAAAGUAGUAGGUGUACAUGGUAGAAAGAAAAGAGGUAACUGCUACCAUCAGAGAUUACGCCAGGCUAGUGUACAUGGUAGAAAGAAAAGAGGUAACUGCUACCAUCAGAGAUUACGCCAGGCUAGUGUACAUGGUAGAAAGAAAAGAGGUAACUGCUACCACCAGAGAUUACGCCGUAGCAUCCUACAGGGAUGCUCCGGAUCGAGUGGUACAAAAAUUCAUGCAUAGAUCAACAUUUUACAAAAUCGGCACAUAGUUUAAUUUUGACAUGUGCUGUUUGAUAUCAUUGCUUAGAGAGAAGGAAAAAAACGAAUAUCUUAGUGACAGUCAGUGCCUCAGCAGGAAUCAUUUAUUAAGAAGUCAUUUGUGGAAAAGAAGCAUCCUCAAGCUCUUAGAGGAGAUUCAGAGUCGGUUCUAUAGAAAUGAAUAUGCUGAAACUUUCCUGGUU